rnacentral:tRNA from 1 species
CCGGUGGUGGUCGAGUGAUUUAUAACGCUGUAUUACCACCUCGGAGGUCCGAGAUUCGAAUUCUUGCCAUCAAC